ensembl:lncRNA novel transcript, antisense to FSTL1
GGGAUUCACCUCAUCCAUCACUGGUCUGCAACUGCCUUUUGAGGGCCACAGCAGGGGAUGGAGAAAUGUUUCUUAACCAGGGCUACAUCAGCCAGUGAAGGGGGAUACGCUCUCAAAUGCAAACCCUGGAAAACCAGAUGGAUAAGAAGCAGACCUGGAGUUCAAGAUGGGCUCCAAAGAUCAGAUGUAUUUGGAGAAAACAAAAAACCCACAACCCAAAGGAUGGGAUUUCACAUCUCAAGACAUCUCCCAGCUAUAUUUCUCCUGGGAAACCUACCUAAAUCUUUAACCAGCAACUUCAACCUGGAUGGUCUUACCUCAGGAGUUUAGAAAUAGCUCACCAUUAUUUGGGCAAGUCCUAGCAAAAAUAUAACUGAGCAAUUUCUUGAGGGGGAGAUAACUUCUAUAGUAUGUAAAUAACCUCAUUUGCUUCCCCGUCACAGAACUUGCACAGCAACUUUCAGUACAAAUCUUAACUUUCUAACAGAAGGAAUAUGACUUUUGUCUAAUUCAAAGGUUGUAAAGAGGUACUUUUCAUAAGGAAGAUGAUAAAGAAAAGAGAUUUCAUAUGAGAAAGGAUCUUGCAUGGUAAAUUAUUGUCCUAAAGUAAAAUGACUGGUUCUUUAAAAAGAGGGAUAUUUAGGACAAGUCAGAAAGUCCAAGCCUGUCAUAGAUGAUCUGUGUAAAUUGUGAAAAAUUUGUGAAAGGGAAUUUAUGAAAGAAAUGUUCUGCAAUUUUAAAGGUUUUUAGACCUACUAAAUAAAUGCUUUAUAGACUGCCACUUUGACUUUUAACUGUACAACUUGACUAUUUUAAAGCUAGGCAUGGCCUGGGGACUUACAGAGUUAGCCAUUCCCCCAGGUAUGCUGGAAAGAGACCUUAUAUGCACUUCUGUCUAGUGAAUCGCUUACUUAUCAGGUUUUUCGCAAAAGUAAAAGUUGUGAACAGUUAGCCAUGUAACAUGUUCUUGAGACUACUGGAAAAGCAGUCUUACAUGUAAGGUACGCAAGGAAAGUAGAAUGUGCUUUUGUUAAAAGAUUGUAAGAAGGUAUGGGAAUGUAAGUUUUGCCUAGUUUGGAGGGUUAAAGGAUUGUUUUAUGUUAGAUAGGAUAAAGCUGAAGGUUUGAGCAAGUUGUGGAAGGUUUGUGAAAAAUUAAUCCUAUAAAAGAAAUUCUAUGUGUGAAAAUUACCCAAAAUUAAAGGACUUUUAUUCAGUUUAUUCAUAAACACUGGAAUUAAAGCACAACAUAGUUUUAUUAAAGUAUUAAUCUGCUUUUGAUUAAAGUGUUAUCAGUACAUGUUCCAAAAUUAUGUGAAACUCCUAUAAUUCUAAUGUAACAUAGUAUACAUUAUUAGGAAUAAUUAUAAUUAUGUUUAAUUGUUUUGUGCCUCAGGGGUAAUAAAUUUCUUUGUCAAUUGUGUCUUUGAUUGUGGCUACCCUAAGACUUUUUGUCAUUAACAGAUAA